CUGACAAUAGUUGUCAUGAUAAGCAGUAAGCGAAUGGCAUACAAAAAUGAAAUGGUACAGAAUUGAGAGGAGACAUGAUGGGCUAGGCUUGAGCUCCCAAUAAAUGGAAAGGUUUGUGAUGCCAUGCAUUCCUCUCCAGUCCUCUGAACAACAUAUCAGACAGAUGGGAAGAAGCACUGAAACUGGAGACAAGGAGCAUCAGUGUUACCAUAGAUUGGGUCAAGAAUAAAAGUCUGUAUUGGCAAAAUGAAGCUGGGAAACUGGGCAUAGUAUCUGCUUUCACGAAACAAAAAUGCUGUUUCAGUCACACUCCUGGAAUUUGAGACUGACAAGAGAGUCUUUAGAGAUACGUGUGAGAAGUAAUAUGCUGAACCCUGAAGAAGGGCAAAGACUUAGUGAUUCAUGGCUUCCUAUAAUUGACCUCAUUAGGAGAGCAAACUGCAGUGUCAGGAGCAGCUCAGGAGAUCAUGGCCUUCAUGACAACCACAGAGCUGGCCCCCACUUAGUAUCUGG